rnacentral:rRNA from 1 species
UCUUUCUUGGCCAACGGAGGAAAAGAAACCAACAGGGAUUGCCCUAGUAACGGCGAGUGAAGCGGCAACAGCUCAAAUUUGAAAGCUGGCUCCGGCCCGCAUUGUAAUUUGCAGAGGAUGCUUCUGGCAAGGUGCCUUCCGAGUUCCCUGGAACGGGACGCCAUAGAGGGUGAGAGCCCCGUAUGGAUGGACACCAAGCCUGUGUGAAGCUCCUUCAACGAGUCGAGUAGUUUGGGAAUGCUGCUCAAAAUGGGAGGUAAAUCUCUUCUAAAGCUAAAUACCGGCCAGAGACCGAUAGCGCACAAGUAGAGUGAUCGAAAGAUGAAAAGCACCUUGAAAAGGGGGUUAAACAGUACGUGAAAUUGUUGAAAGGGAAGCGCUUGUGACCAGACUUGCGCCGGGCGGCUCAUCAGGGGUUCUCCCCUGUGCACUCCGCCCGGCUCAGGCCAGCAUCGGUUCUCGUGGGGGGAUAAGAACGGUGGGAACGUGGCCCCCCUCCGGGGGGGUGUUAUAGCCCGCCGUACGAUACUCUCGCGGGGACCGAGGUUCGCGCUCCGCAAGGAUGCUGGCGUAAUGGUCAUCAGCGACCCGUCUGAAAACCGAAAAACCAUGUUUGCUCAAG